rnacentral:rRNA from 1 species
UGGGGGAUAUUGCACAAUGGGCGAAAGCCUGAUGCAGCGACGCCGCGUGGGGGAUGAAGGCUUUCGGGUUGUAAACCUCUUUCGCUAUCGAACAAGGCCCGCUUAGGGUGGGUUGAGGGUAGGUGGAGAAGAAGCGCCGGCUAACUACGUGCCAGCAGCCGCGGUAAUACGUAGGGCGCGAGCGUUGUCCGGAAUUAUUGGGCGUAAAGGGCUUGUAGGCGGCUUGUUGCGCCUGCUGUGAAAACGCGGGGCUUAACUUCGCGCGUGCAGUGGGUACGGGCAGGCUUGAGUGUGGUAGGGGUGACUGGAAUUCCAGGUGUAGCGGUGGAAUGCGCAGAUAUCUGGAGGAACACCGAUGGCGAAGGCAGGUCACUGGGCCGUUACUGACGCUGAGGAGCGAAAGCAUGGGUAGCGAACAGG